rnacentral:lncRNA from 1 species
AUGAUAUGAGUCUUUGAAUAGUCUAUGACUACGUAGAGACGGAUCGUAAUCCAGCAAUACGAUCCAUGCUCAGUAAGAUAGAUUAUGCUCGAAAAUCAAUCAUAGAUCUAUUGACUUAAAGAAUGAAUACUAGAUUUAUAAUUAAAAAUAAAAAUUGAAAUCCCCAAAAUAUGCUUUUUUCUAUUACUUCGAAUUUUCUAUUUUCAAUCCUAGCUUAAUUAGUUAUAAGUAAAAUUCUUUAAAAUCUUAACUAACUCGAAUACAACUUAGCCCAC